rnacentral:lncRNA from 1 species
AUUGCCCAAGUUGGGCAGAUCUUUUUCGUGGUCACACGAAAGCAUAAACUGAAUCGGUGGUUUGAUUGGGGUAGGUUUCAUUUUCAUGGCUUGGGGUCGGUUUUCACGUGCCUUGUGACUUGGGGUUUAUUUGUUCGUUUAUUUACAUGUUUUUUCAAUGCAAAUUUUCUUAGGUGGUGGACAUAUCGUUUCACCAACUUUCACUGAUAGUUGUUUGUGGAAAUAUGAAACGGAUGCGGCAAAGAG